rnacentral:rRNA from 1 species
GACGAACGCUGGCGGCGCGCCUAACACAUGCAAGUCGAACGAGAGAGAGGAAGCUUGCUUCCUCAAUCGAGUGGCGAACGGGUGAGUAACGCGUGAGGAACCUGCCUCAAAGAGGGGGACAACAGUUGGAAACGACUGCUAAUACCGCAUAAGCCCACGGGUCGGCAUCGACCAGAGGGAAAAGGAGCAAUCCGCUUUGAGAUGGCCUCGCGUCCGAUUAGCUAGUUGGUGAGGUAACGGCCCACCAAGGCAACGAUCGGUAGCCGGACUGAGAGGUUGAACGGCCACAUUGGGACUGAGACACGGCCCAGACUCCUACGGGAGGCAGCAGUGGGGAAUAUUGCACAAUGGGGGAAACCCUGAUGCAGCGACGCCGCGUGGAGGAAGAAGGUCUUCGGAUUGUAAACUCCUGUUGUUGAGGAAGAUAAUGACGGUACUCAACAAGGAAGUGACGGCUAACUACGUGCCAGCAGCCGCGGUAAAACGUAGGUCACAAGCGUUGUCCGGAAUUACUGGGUGUAAAGGGAGCGCAGGCGGGAAGACAAGUUGGAAGUGAAAUCUAUGGGCUCAACCCAUAAACUGCUUUCAAAACUGUUUUUCUUGAGUAGUGCAGAGGUAGGCGGAAUUCCCGGUGUAGCGGUGGAAUGCGUAGAUAUCGGGAGGAACACCAGUGGCGAAGGCGGCCUACUGGGCACCAACUGACGCUGAGGCUCGAAAGUGUGGGUAGCAAACAGGAUUAGAUACCCUGGUAGUCCACACCGUAAACG